rnacentral:sRNA from 2 species
UCGGGUGCCACGCCGAAUUCGAUGCCGCGGACGGGGAAGUCCGAGGCGGAGAAACCGGGGACCCACGUAUCCCUGGGGUGAAUCACACGCAAGGCGGAGCGAUCCGUGGAGCGUGUGUAGGGCUUCUUUGUGCCCGAACCCGUCAGCUCACCCGGUAGGCGUCGACAAAGAGGGAGU